UCGGGAAUAUUGCGCAAUGGAGGAAACUCUGACGCAGUGACGCCGCGUAUAGGAAGAAGGUUUUCGGAUUGUAAACUAUUGUCGUUAGGGAAGAAAAAGACAGUACCUAAGGAGGAAGCUCCGGCUAACUACGUGCCAGCAGCCGCGGUAAUACGUAGGGAGCGAGCGUUAUCCGGAUUUAUUGGGUGUAAAGGGUGCGUAGACGGGUAUGCAAGUUGGUUGUGAAAUCCCUCGGCUUAACUGAGGAACUGCAACCAAAACUGUAUAUCUUGAGUACAGGAGAGGUAAGUGGAAUUCCUAGUGUAGCGGUGAAAUGCGUAGAUAUUAGGAGGAACACCAGUGGCGAAGGCGACUUACUGGACUGAAACUGACGUUGAGGCACGAAAGUGUGGGGAGCAAACAGGAUUAGAUACC
rnacentral:rRNA from 1 species